rnacentral:pre_miRNA from 1 species
ACUUGCGCUUUGCGGACAAACUGUUGCAUUCCAAGGCGUUUGUUCGUUCGGCUCGAGUUA